rnacentral:rRNA from 1 species
UACGGAGGGUGCAAACGUUGCUCGGAAUCAUUGGGCGUAAAGCGCACGUAGGCGGCCUGUUAAGUCGGGUGUGAAAGCCCUGGGCUCAACCCCAGGAAGUGCACUCGAAACUGGCGGGCUUGAAUAUGGAAGAGGGUCGCGGAAUUCCCGGUGUAGAGGUGAAAUUCGUAGAUAUCGGGGAGGAACACCAGUGGCGAAGGCGGCGACCUGGGCCAAUAUUGACGCUGAGGUGCGAAAGCGUGGGGAGCAAACAGG